UUAAAUUGAAGAGUUUGAUCAUGGCUCAGAUUGAACGCUGGCGGCAGGCCUAACACAUGCAAGUCGAACGGUAACAGGAAUC
rnacentral:rRNA from 2 species